rnacentral:lncRNA from 1 species
AAGCCCCUGUGUCACGUCCCCUAUAGACUCCAUGCAGUAUCUCCUAUACUCCUCACGGCACACCCCCUACGACCCCAUAGUUUCUCCCCUAUAUACCCUCCCAUGCCCCGUGCCCCCUGCUGACCCUAUAGCCCCUAUGGGUGCAGGGGGGACCAGGACCCUGCGGGGCUGCAGGCAGCACUGGUGGAACUGCGGGAGCACAACUGGGAGCUGCGGCAACGCCUGCAACAAAGGCACGAGGAGGCACAGGAGCUGCAGCGGGCGCUGAUGGCUGCAAAAGCACGGACCAGGGCAGCAGCAGAGGCAAGGGCACAGCUGGAAAGGGAGCAGAGGGGGCUGCAGGGGAGGCUGCAGCACCCUUGGGUGCCCCCACACCCGACUGAAGCCACCCUGCGUGCCCGCUGCCUUCACCUGCAGGAGAUGCUGCAGCAAGAGGCAGGGGCGAGGGCAGCUCUGGGUCGGGCAGCGCGGGCGGCAGGACGGCAGCUGAGGGGGCUGCAGGCAGAGCUGGAGGAGCAGCGGCUGCGGGGGGAGCGAUACCGGCUGCAGGCAGAGGCCACCGAGGCAGCACAUCGUGCCCUACAGGACCAGCUGGCCGUGGUGACAUCGGGGACAUCCCGUGCCCACGCUCAGGGUCAGAUCCUUCGCCGGGCUCUGGAGGACAUCGGGGAUGGCACCGCAGCCACUGCCUGUCAUGUGGCUGCACUGCGGGUCCGCCUCAGGUGUGACCCCAUGACACUGAGCCGCACCGUGCGCAGGAUGCUGAGGGGGGAGGAUGGGGG